CUUCCAGAAUUCAGCGACUCCCUUAUCCUUCUAGAAUUCAGCGACCGUUUGCCUUCCUCCACCCCUGUGCCCGUCUGUUGCUGUCCUCCGCCCUCUCCGUCUCCCUUCUGCUCCUCUCCACAGAGCACAGUAAGGACCGGGAGAACUUCACAUCAAAUGACUAGUUAACUAGAUUUGAUAAAAGUUAGUAACUUUUUGACACAAGACCGGGAGAACUUCAGAUUAAAGGACUAGUUAACUAAGAGUUAAUAAAAGUUAGUAACACAGGACCGGGAGAAGUCAAACCGGUCUUUUCUACGGUACAGUGGGCCCGAACACGACUCUUGAAUGACAUGGGCUUCUAAAAAUGGGCUUUUAUUAAUGGGCUAUUUGGAGACUUAAAUUUGGCCGGAGAUGGAUGUUCUUCUAGUGCAGUCGCAAUUGACUACAACAUGCAAAAGCAAAAACAACUUUCAAGAAAUUCAGGCGCCGACCACCGCCAUCGAAAUGACAACCGGACCUAUUGGUCACCGGAUUCAUGUCAAAGACAAUCCCCCGUCAGCCCCGCUCUUCCGGACGCGAUGUUCGAUCGGGCCCCGGCCGUUGCGCAAGCUGACCUUCGCCCGGAAACCAUACUGCCCCUACACGAGAGACUCGCUGGAGUAACAGCCGGGUAAAACCGGGUUGCCCUCAAGACCGCACCAUGCCUCGGUAGGAACGAUCCAUCAUUGGGACGUCCUCCCCCCAUAACGCCACAGCCGUGGAUAGAACCCAUGACCUCCAAGGAGGAACCGGCCCAACCCCACCACAUGGGACCAACUGGACUAGGGGUUCGGAUAUGUUCAAAACAGUUUAAUC